GAACGCUGGCGGCGUGCCUAACACAUGCAAGUCGAACGAAGCACCGGAAGCUUGCUUCUGGUGACUUAGUGGCGGACGGGUGAGUAACGCGUGGGCAACCUGCCCCAUGGAGCGGGACAACAGUUGGAAACGACUGCUAAUACCGCAUAACGUCAUUUGGGGGCAUCCUUAAAUGACCAAAGGAGCAAUCCGCUGUAAGAUGGCUUCGCGUCCGAUUAGAUAGUUGGCGGGGUAACGGCCCACCAAGUCGACGAUCGGUAGCCGGACUGAGAGGUUGAUCGGCCACAUUGGGACUGAGACACGGCCCAGACUCCUACGGGAGGCAGCAGUGAGGAAUAUUGGUCAAUGGUCUGACGACUGAACCAGCCAUGCCGCGUGAAGGUCACGGCCCUAUGGGUCUUAAACUUCUUUUGUAAGGGAGCAAUAAGUCUCACGUGUGGGAUGAUGAGAGUACCUUACGAAUAAGCAUCGGCUAACUCCGUG
rnacentral:rRNA from 1 species